AACCACAUCGAAAACACCAGUUCUCGUUUGAUCACUGAAGUUAAGCUGUGUCGAGCCCGGACAAUACUUAGAUGGGGAGACCGUUUAGGAACAUCGAGAACCGU